rnacentral:rRNA from 1 species
UGGUCAGCAUGGCCCUUACGGCCUGGGCGACACACGUGCUACAAUGCCCACUACAAAGCGAGGCCACCCGGCAACGGGGAGCUAAUCGCAAAAAGGUGGGCCCAGUUCGGAUUGGGGUCUGCAACCCGACCCCAUGAAGCCGGAAUCGCUAGUAAUCGCGGACCAGCCAUGCCGCGGUGAAUACCGUUCCCGGGCCUU